ensembl:rRNA 5S_rRNA 5S ribosomal RNA
GUCUAUAGCUACACCACCCUGAAUGUGCUGCUUCUCAUCUGAUCUUAGAAGCUAAGCAGGGUCGGGCUUGGCUAGUAUUUGGAUGGGAGACCACUUGGGAAUAUCCAGUGCUGUAGGCU